CUCAACACGGNAAAACUCACCCGGCCCGGACACUGUAAGGAUUGACAGAUUGAUAGCUCUUUCUUGAUUCAGUGGUUGGUGGUGCAUGGCCGUUCUUAGUUGGUGGAGCGAUUUGUCUGGUUAAUUCCGAUAACGAACGAGACUCCAGCCUGCUAAUUAGUGUGUCCGUCCUCUGUUCCUGUGUUGGCGGCGUCCGGCAAGGCUGCUUCUGUUGCCUGCUGCCGCGGGUUCACGCAAGUGGGCCCGUGGUGGUUAGGUUAGGAUGGUGGCUGGCUCGGCGUUAGCCUCCGGGUACGGCGCGGAUACCUACUUCUUAGAGGGACAAGCGGGGAAACUCGCACGAAAUUGAGCAAUAACAGGUCUGUGAUGCCCUUAGAUGUCCGGGGCCGCACGCGCGCUACAAUGACGGUGCCAACGAGUCUGACCUUCUGGCCCGAAAGGGUUGGGCAAACUGGUCAAUCACCGUCAUGACAGGGAUCGGGGCUUGGAAUUGUUCCCCGUGAACGAGGAAUUCCUAGUAAGUGCAAGUCAUAAGCUUGCGCUGAUUACGUCCCUGCCCUUUGUACACNCCGCCCGUCGCNACNACCGAUUGAAUGGUUNAGUAAGGUCCUUGGAUUGGCGCCAUUGUGNCGGUUGCCNAAAGGUAGCCGUCCAACGUGUNCUCAGAAGACGACCAAACUUGAUCNUUU
rnacentral:rRNA from 1 species